CCGGCACGGGUGAGUAACACGUAUCCACCUGCCGUCUACUCUUGGACAGCCUUCUGAAAGGAAGAUUAAUACAAGAUGGCAUCAUGAGUCCGCAUGUUCACAUGAUUAAAGGUAUUCCGGUAGACGAUGGGGAUGCGUUCCAUUAGAUAGUAGGCGGGGUAACGGCCCACCUAGUCUUCGAUGGAUAGGGGUUCUGAGAGGAAGGCCCCCACAUUGGAACUGAGACACGGUCCAA
rnacentral:rRNA from 1 species